UAAAACAAGGUGAAGAUUUUGAAGAAAAAAUAGAACUUUUAUUAUUUCUUAAAAAAUAUCUUGCUAUAAAAAAAAUAAUAUGAUUUGGUAUAGAUAUUAAAGUAUCUCUAAUUAUCUCUAUAUCUUUAAUUUUUGUCAAUAUUGUUACUUUUUGUGGUGUAAAAUUAAAUUUAAUAUAUUACAAGAAUUAUUAAUUUUAAUUGUUAUUGCAUUUAUGCCAUUGUAUUUUCUUAUUUCAAUAAGCUUGGCCAUAAUAAUAUAGUUAAAAAAAGAUUUCUAAUAUCAUUCAAGACAAAUAGAAGAGAAGACCCAACAACAAAGAAAAUUUUAAGAAUAAUAUUAGUUC
rnacentral:lncRNA from 1 species